UCCUCUGCUGUCCCCCCGCAGCCCCCAGCGCUGGCCGGCGAAUCCCUUCAUGUCACCGCGUCCCGCAGACCUAGCCUGUGGCCUCUCUCUCUAAAGCCAACGUGGCUCAUCAAGUAAAGGCGAGCUCCUGGCAGGAUUGGGCUGCCUCGGCGGAGUCUGAUGAGGCAGGUGGCUCGCCCAGAGUCGGGUUCAGCUGGGACACAGAAACGCCCGGCGAUCUGCCGUCUUCUCCUUGAAUGAUACCGACGUGGAGGCAAGAGAACAAGGUUCAGGGAGCCACAGAGGCCUGGGGAUCAUUUAAUCCUUAAUUCACGUUGUCCCGUU